GACGAACGCUGGCGGCGUGCUUAACACAUGCAAGUCGAACGGACAGGCCCUGCUUUUGUGGGGUGCUCGAGUGGCGAACGGGUGAGUAACACGUGAGUAACCUGCCCCUGACUUUGGGAUAACUCCAGGAAACUGGGGCUCAUACCGGAUAGGAGCUCUUGCUGCAUGGUGGGGGUUGGAAAGUUUCGGCGGUUGGGGAUGGACUCGCGGCUUAUCAGCUUGUUGGUGGGGUAGUGGCUUACCAAGGCUUUGACGGGUAGCCGGCCUGAGAGGGUGACCGGCGACAUGGGGACUAAGAUACGGCCCAGUCUCCUACGUGAGGCAGCAGUGGAGAAUAUUGCACAAUGGGCGGGAGCCAGAUGCAGCAACGCCGCGUGCGGGAUGACGGCCUUCGGGUUGUAAACCGCUGUCUCCUGUAACGAAGCGUGAGUGACGGUAAUGGGUAAAGAAGCACCGGCUAACUACGUG
rnacentral:rRNA from 1 species